GACGAACGCUGGCGGCGUGCUUAACACAUGCAAGUCGAACGAAGAGCGAUGGAAGCUUGCUUCUAUCAAUCUUAGCGGCGAACGGGUGAGUAACGCGUAAUCAACCUGCCCUUCAGAGAGGGACAACAGUUGGAAACGACUGCUAAUACCGCAUACGCUCUAAUCUCGGCAUCGAUGAUAGAGUAAAGGUGGCCUCUACAUGUAAGCUAUCACUGAAGGAGGGGAUUGCGUCUGAUUAGCUAGUUGGAGGGGUAACGGCCCACCAAGGCGAUGAUCAGUAGCCGGUCUGAGAGGAUGGGCAGCCACAUUGGGACUGAGACACGGCCCAGACUCCUACGGGAGGCGGCAGUGGGGAAUCGUCCGCAAUCGACGAAAGUCUGACGGAGAAACGCCGCGUGAGUGAGGACGGCCGUCGGGUUGUAAAGCUCUGUUAAUCGGGACGAAAGGCCUUCUUGCGAAUAGUGAGAAGGAUUGACGGUACCGGAAUAGAAAGCCACGGCUAACUACGUG
rnacentral:rRNA from 1 species